rnacentral:lncRNA from 1 species
GAGCACAUAAGGCUUUUAAUGUUUGUGACAUUCUCAUCUCACCGGUAAAAUAAUGUGACGUGUACUGGAAAUAGAAAGAUGGGUGGAGACCAUCCUCUCCUAGCACCCUCAACCCAAAACCCAAGCAGCACCAGCAGCCCCUGCCCAAACAUUCUGUUUCUCCAAAAGCCUCCCAUGAUGGGCAUGGCAUCACCACACUGGAAUUCUUCUUAGGUUCUUUAUUAGUUUUUCAGCACAGUUAACUCUUUCUACGUUGACUAGAGUUUUGUUUUACAUUUUAUCAUCUCAUGACAGCAGCCACCAGAAUACACAAAAUUAGGCUCUUUACUUUGUGCGGAGAAGAAAAUAAUAAACAUUAAAAGUUCACCUUGACCAAAGAGACAACCUCCAGAAGAACACCACACAUGGGAGGCCCGGAGGGCGAAGGCAACAGAGGUGAGUGUGAGUGGGGCUGACAGGGCCCUGUGGGGAGGGUGGGGGGCCUCACCGCUCUGGCUGAUGGGAGGCAGAGGAGGGCUGACUGAGGCUGGGCUGCACUUACGGUUGAGGCCCACAUCAUGGUAGGUGAGGAUGGCUGGGCGGUUCCCCUUGGGGGAGCCCCGGAUCACUACAUGCAGAAGGCCGUAGGGUGUCUCGAUGUCAUGUUCCUGAAGGGGAGAGACCGUGCUGGACACUCUGGGCAGCCUCCGCUCUUGGCUCCUCUGGGGAAUGAGGUGACGCAGCCUGGUACCUGUUAGGCCUGUGGUAGAGCCCCUACUUGGGGCAUCCUGUUCUCAUCACCCCAAGAAGCCCCCAGAGAGGACUGAAUGGAUGGAACACCCCUUCUCAGGGCUGUUCAGUACAGAGACAAUGUGAACUGAUCUGCAUGGGGAAGGUCUGGUCCUCUCUGCAAACCAGCCACUGGUUUGUGCUGUCACUGUCCUCCGCCCUUGAGGGUCCAGGGAGGCUGUUUUUCUCCAUCUUGCAGCAGCCCCUCCUGGACAGCUCUGCCUCCCCAGCCCAAGUCCCUCUCACACUCAGAACUCUCAGGCACUUCCUGCUGCUGCAGGGGAACGGCCUCAGUGGUCCUGCCUGGAAUCCUCAGAAAACACCCCGUGCCAGCCAAGCCUAGCCCCGACCCCGGCACUGCCCCUGGCUCCCACUCUAAGGCUCUUGCGCAUGUGGUUCCUUCCACCUUGAACGCCCUUCUGUGUGAGCCCAGCAUCCUCAAGGGCUCCCUUCAGGCAGGCCCGGGUCAGACCCCCCUCCCCAUCCCCUCUAGAGGCCUUCUGCAGAGCCUGCUCUGGGAUCCUCUUGAGUUCACACCUUUGGUUUUGCUGCUCAAGGUCAUUACUUCCUCAGGAAGACCUGGUUCUACCCCUUACUUGUGACUGAGCAUGUCAUGUUACUUCUCUGCUGUGCCUCAGCCUCUCCAUCCAGAACCACCUCACAGGGACUUUGCGGGAACUAGACAAGCCAAUGUUUGUGGAGCAUUUAGCACUUGGAGAAAGCCCCAGAAAGGGGGCUGUUAUGCUAGGGCAUCCCUGAGCCUUGGGAGAAUGCCCUUCUCGCUGUUCCUUUGCAAACUGGGCAUUCUUAGCCACUCGGAUGGGCAAACUUCAAGAGGGGCCAUCUGAGCUAAAUAAACCGAUCCUCUCUGCAUCAUUGUGAGCCCUGGGAACCACGUGAGUGGCCCAGUGAGUUGGAGGUGGGGCUGGGGUCAAGGACAUGAAAGAAACAUCAAGCGACUGAGCACCUACUGUGUGCCAGGCUUCCUGCAUGUUACCCAAGAGACAGGAACCCUAGUCCCUGUUUUGCAGGUGAGGACACUUUGGUUUAGAAAGAACCUGAGUUCCUGCCUCCAAAUGGGAAAGGAGAUUUAGACAGCAGAAGACAGCUGCUCAGGGGCCAGCAUUAGUGGGUCUGGUCUCAGAGGACCACUGUCCAGGCCUGUGUCUCCAGUGUGGAGUGACAAGCUGGCACCAACCUGGUGGCCAAAGGCUCUACCCUGGAGAACACUCUUUGACUUGCAGGCCCUUUUUAUUUCCCUGUUGUCCUCCAGGAGAGCCCAGGUAAUGAGCCUUAGGGUGAGCCAUGCGGCUGAUUGCACCACCCAGGGGAUGAGGAGGCCACACCAGGGCUGAGAGGGGACAGACCACACAGCCCCUCCCAUCCCAGGCCUAUCCUUUCUCGGGGCCCAUCAAAUCCAGGAACACUUCCCCGCCACUGACCACUGACCCACAGUUUUCUCAUUUACUUCCCACAUAGGCCCAAGCCAUAGAGGAGGAAAUUGAGGCUAGGAAAGGGAAAUGACUUGCCCAAGGUCAAUCCCAGAGUAGGGAGGGCAGGCCCUGCCAGGUGCCAGUCUCAGGGGCCAGGGCGGUGCACUGAAGGCUGCAUGUUCACAGGAGAUCAGGUUCCACCCGAGGGAGCUCCUGACCAGGCAGCCCUUUCACAGCCACCUGUGAGUUCUCUCAGCUCUGGAGGGUGGGGCUGCAAAAGAACUGCAAUGCGCCUCCUGCUGCAUAAAGGACAGUUAUCCUCCUGGGGUCAGACGUCGAGAGCCCAGGGCGGUGCCUUCCAAACCCAGACCCGCAGCGUGCGGGUCCGCCUGAGGGGUGUGAGGGGUGUCUGCUCUCUGCUGCUGAGGAGGCCCCACUGUCUUCUCCCAGCCCUGGUGUGGCCGCCCCUGUCCCCAUCCCCCUGAGGUGACGUGAUCAGGCUCUACUAGGGCUCAUCUCCCAGGAUGGGAAGGGCUGGGGCUGGGCCUGGGCGUCACCGGGCUACCUGUCCUACGAAGUCCAGUGACCUUCGCUGAACCCUGCUGCGAACCUCCCUAACGCCUUCUCUCACCCUCUGCGGAGAGCUCAGGACUCAGUUCAGCCUGAUCGAAGCCAAACAUCCCCGUCCCUUGGAGCGCUGCGCAAGGGCAGCCCCACAAGGGCCACAGCGCGGUGCACUCUGAGGCCCCCAACCCUCAGGGCCGAGCACUCCCAUUGGCUCUGGGUGACGUCAGAGCCGGCCCCGCCUCCAGGUAGGCGCAGGCGGGAAGCACUGCGGCAGCAGGGGAGGGGGCUGUGGCGGCUCCUCUCGGUCGGUCCGUCUCCCCUCGCCUGUGACCUUGAGCACUGGAGGGGAGUGGGGCUUUGAGCCGGGCUUUGCGCCGGUGUGGGAGUUGGUGCUGGUGGUGCUGUGGUUCGGCCUGUCAGCCGCAUCA